CAACUCGCCUGCAUGAAGUCGGAAUUGCUAGUAAUCGUAGGUCAGCAUACUACGGUGAAUACGUUCCCGGGCCUUGUACACACCGCCCGUCAAACCAUGAGAGUUGGCAACACCCGAAGUCGGUAGUCUAACCGCAAGGAGGACGCCGCCGAAGGUGGGGUUGAUGAUUAGGGUUAAGUCGUAACAAGGUAUC
rnacentral:rRNA from 1 species